UACGAAGGGGGCUAGCGUUGCUCGGAAUCACUGGGCGUAAAGGGCGCGUAGGCGGACAUUUAAGUCAGGGGUGAAAGCCCGGGGCUCAACCCUGGAAUGGCCUUUGAUACUGGGUGUCUCGAGUCUGGUAGAGGUUGGUGGAACUGCGAGUGUAGAGGUGAAAUUCGUAGAUAUUCGCAAGAACACCGGUGGCGAAGGCGGCCAACUGGACCAGCACUGACGCU
rnacentral:rRNA from 1 species